rnacentral:rRNA from 1 species
AAGUCGAGGGGCAUCAUGAGGUAGCAAUACCUUGAUGGCGACCGGCGCACGGGUGAGUAACGCGUAUGCAACCUGCCCGAUACCGGGGUAUAGCCCAUGGAAACGUGGAUUAACACCCCAUAGUACUUUUAUCCUGCAUGGGAUGUGGGUUAAAUGUUCAAGGUAUCGGAUGGGCAUGCGUCCUAUUAGUUAGUUGGCGGGGUAACAGCCCACCAAGACGAUGAUAGGUAGGGGUUCUGAGAGGAAGGUCCCCACAUUGGAACUGAGACACGGUCCAAACUCC